rnacentral:rRNA from 1 species
GCGGCGCGCUUAACACAUGCAAGUCGAGCGAUGAAAUCUUAACAGAACCCUUCGGGGCGAAGAUAAGACGGAUUAGCGGCGGACGGGUGAGUAACACGUGAGUAACCUGCCUUUUACACAGGGAUAGCCUCGGGAAACCGGGAUAAAAACCUGAUGAAACUAUCAAAUCACAUGAUUAAGAAAGUUAAAACUCCGGUGGUAAAAGAUGGACUCGCGUCCCAUUAGCUAGUUGGUGAAGGUAACGGCCCACCAAGGCAACGAUGGGUAGCCGGCCUGAGAGGGUGAACGGCCACAUUGGAACUGAGAAACGGUCCAAACUCCUACGGGAGGCAGCAGUGGGGAAUAUUGCACAAUGGGGGAAACCCUGAUGCAGCGACGCCGCGUGAGCGAAGAAGGCCUUCGGGUCGUAAAGCUCUUUUAUAUGGGAAGAUAAUGACGGUACCAUAAGAAAGAGCCCCGGCUAA